rnacentral:rRNA from 1 species
AGUGAACGCUGGCGGUAGGCCUAACACAUGCAAGUCGAACGGCAGCACAGUAAGAGCUUGCUCUUACGGGUGGCGAGUGGCGGACGGGUGAGGAAUACAUCGGAAUCUACUUUUUCGUGGGGGAUAACGUAGGGAAACUUACGCUAAUACCGCAUACGACCUACGGGUGAAAGCAGGGGAUCUUCGGACCUUGCGCGAUUGAAUGAGCCGAUGUCGGAUUAGCUAGUUGGCGGGGUAAAGGCCCACCAAGGCGACGAUCCGUAGCUGGUCUGAGAGGAUGAUCAGCCACACUGGAACUGAGACACGGUCCAGACUCCUACGGGAGGCAGCAGUGGGGAAUAUUGGACAAUGGGCGCAAGCCUGAUCCAGCCAUACCGCGUGUGUGAAGAAGGCCUUCGGGUUGUAAAGCCCUUUUGUUGGGAAAGAAAAGCAGCAGGUUAAUACCCCGCUGUUCUGACGGUACCCACAGAAUAAGCACCGGCUAACUUCGUG